rnacentral:rRNA from 1 species
AAGUUGUUGCAGUUAAAAAGCUCGUAGUUGAAUUUCUGGUGGGCGCGCCGGUCUUCCAUGUGUUGUACUGGGCGCUGUCCGCCAUCCUUGUGGAGAGGGCUCGCAUUGAGUUGUGGGUCGGAUCUGCAUCAUUUACUGUGAAAAAAUUAGAGUGUUUAAAGCAGGCUGUCGCUUGAAUACAUUAGCAUGGAAUAAUAAGAUAGGACUUUGGUCUAUUUUGUUGGUUGCGAACCGAGGUAAUGAUUAAUAGGGAUAGUUGGGGGUAUUCAUAUUUAAUUGUCAGAGGUGAAAUUCUUGGAUUUAUGAAAGAUGAACAACUGCGAAAGCAUUUACCAAGGAUGUUUUCAUUAAUCAAGAACGAAAGUCAGGGGAUCGAAGAGGAUUAGAUACCCUCGUAGUCUUGACCAUAAACUAUGCCGACUCAGGAUUGGCAGGCGUUUUCUAACGACCCUGUCAGCACUGUAUGAAAAAUCAAAGUCUUUGGGUUCCGGGGGGAGUAUGGUCGCAAGGCUGAAACUUAAAGGAAUUGACGGAAGGG